rnacentral:rRNA from 1 species
AUGAAAGAACACUUUGAUGUUCACAACUUGAGUGCAAUUCACCGCUCCGAGAGAUCACUUCGGUCCCAAUGGUCGACAAUCAACUCGGAUUGUCAAAGGUGGGCGGCCUGUCAAAAGGUGGUUGACAAGUUGAACCCAAGUGGCACAAAUGAGGACGAUAAAGAGGAGAGGACAACCAAGAAGGGGAAGAUCAAGAAAGGAAGGGUCUUUACCUUGCCCCAUUGCUAUAACAUGUUGAAGGAUGAUGAGAAAUGGAAGAAGCGUGAAGAUUUGGAUGAUUUGCAUUUGAGCAACAAACGCAAGCGAACAAUUAAGUUGGAUGAUGAUGAUGACGAGGAUGAUGCAUCAAGUGAUGACGGCAAGAGAAGCCCCCCACCCAACUCGGUUUCAUACUCGAAGCCAAAGCGACCGGAUGGGUGCAAGAAAGACAAAACCGAAAAGAAGAAGAGGAAAGGAGAUGAUGAGCUCAAAAAUGCUAUGGAAGCUAUUGUGAAGGCAAGAAAAGAAGCCAACGAGGUGAGGAAAAUGGCAAGGAACCAAGAUGCCGUGGCCGAGGAGAGGAGGUUGGCGGCCGAAGAGAGGAGGGUGGCGGCUGAGGAGAGGAAGGUGGCUUUGGGGGAGAGGAAGGUGAGCAAUGAGGAGCGAACUAGAUUGUUGGAAUGGGAGAAGCACUUGUUCUUCUUGGACACAUCUAACCUCAAUGCGGCACAAAAGGAGUAA